rnacentral:lncRNA from 1 species
AAUGCGCUUGGCACGUUUUCUUUCCGGACACAUCCAGUGGAUACUGUGCAGACCUUCUCCAGCUAAUCUCAGGAAGGCUGAAGUUUUUAGACGGCUACCCUUCAUAUUUAGGGAGAGAAUAUAACCAUGUGGAAAGUCUAGUCUUCAUGUGGAACAUCUGUUACGAAGAAAUUCUACUUGGAAAGCUUGUCUGCUCUAUUAACCCAUCCCUGUUGCUCACUUGGAAGAAGAGGGCCUUCACUUUCCACUGUAAGAAGAAGGUCUUCUGUUGCUCUGAACGCUUCUGUUUAGAGACCUUUCUUCACUGUCCCCAAGGGAAGUGGUUUUGCUUCCUCCAUCCACGUACACAGCUCUUGAGGACCGAGUCUCUGACCUGCGACUUGUAAAGAUUCUGGGAAGUUUCUAGAGGGGCAAUUCAUGAAAGAAAGACUCAGUAACUUGAAUCUGCAAAUUUCAAAAUGUGGAAAAAGAAUUUUAUCAGUACCAUAGGAUGAGACUGCUUUUACCUAAGAAGAAAGCUCUCAUGGUAUUUGUCAAAUUCCAGAACAGCGAGGGCACAGCCAUUUAUAACAGUUCCUUAUGAAUCCUUUACAUGGUAGUGUGCACACUUGGACCAGCAAAUAUUUAAGAUGAAAUGCUACCCAGUGGAUUACAUCUGAGAAAGAAAGCAAUGAGUACUUGAGGACUCCUGCUACUAGUGUGCCAUGGACCCUCUAUUGCAAUGACAAAAGUGAAAACAUAAAAUGUCAACCUCUGGACCAAUGUGUGGUUAGUGCCACCGCAGCACUGUUGCCCCAGGAUGCCCUGAAUAAACCAUUGUUGUGGUUUCCCUGACAGACAGCUUGUCGGCAAAUGAUCAGUAUUGGCCAUGAUUUCGGGCUAAUUUCAUGGAUGUUUUCCAGUUUCCGUGAUCUUCCGUUCCCGUUUUCCAAACAAAAGUGCUUCUGAAAAUUUCUGUUUAACAUCUUUCACUUUGAAUAAAGAGAACAAGAAACAUUCCCCUCGCA